GGCCGGUGAUGCUAGAAAAUAUUUGCUACUCUUGAUGGCAAUCGCCCAUUUGAUGAGUCUCUUCCACCAAGAUCUCUGAGGCU
rfam:Glycine max cultivar Williams 82 chromosome 16, whole genome shotgun sequence.